rnacentral:rRNA from 1 species
CAUAUCAAUAAGCGGAGGAAAAGAAACCAACAGGGAUUGCCCUAGUAACGGCGAGUGAAGCGGCAACAGCCCUCAAAUUUGAAAUCUGGCUCUUUUAGAGUCCGAGUUGUAAUUUGCAGAGGGCGCUUUGGCUUUGGCAGCGGUCCAAGUUCCUUGGAACAGGACGUCACAGAGGGUGAGAAUCCCGUACGUGGUCGCUGGCUAUUGCCGUGUAAAGCCCCUUCGACGAGUCGAGUUGUUUGGGAAUGCAGCUCUAAAUGGGAGGUACAUUUCUUCUAAAGCUAAAUAUUGGCCAGAGACCGAUAGCGCACAAGUAGAGUGAUCGAAAGAUGAAAAGCACUUUGGAAAGAGAGGGUCAAACAGCACGUGAAAUUGUUGAAAGGGAAGCGCUUGCAGCCAGACUUGCUUACAGUUGCUCAUCCGGGCUUUUGCCCGGUGCACUCUUCUGUAGGCAGGCCAGCAUCAGUUUGGGCGGUAGGAUAAAGGUCUCUGUCACGUACCUCCUUUCGGGGAGGCCUUAUAGGGGAGACGACAUACUACCAGCCUGGACUGAGGUCCGCGCAUCUGCUAGGAUGCUGGCGUAAUGGCUGUAAGCGGCAAU